AUUUUGCGCUUCAGCUCCAGCACACGCUCAUCCUGGGAGGGUGUCGCCAGGCUUGUCGCCUGGGCCUUCUUUUCCUCCCACCUGGACCACAACACCACAACAGCACUAGCUUAGAAGAAGACUGAGUAACGCCCAGGAAGGGCCAGCCGUUCUCGAAGUUCCACAACAGACAUCUCACCUUCCAGACCAUAUCCUGGGAUCUUCCAAAUGAUAGGAGAGACCUCAGAGCUGGCAGCUGCACAAGCCACUUGCCCUUAAUGUCCAAGAAGACUUUUCCUCUGCUUCAGUCUGCCUGUGAAGCCCACAUCAGCAGCUCCAGCCUAGAGCCCUUCAGUAGAACUGGACUUCUCAACUGGAUACACCUUGCCCUUUGUGUCUAGGUGAGACCCAGCAGUCAAUUUGAAGAGUCUCCCAGACCUGCCCUCAUGUUCCUGUGAACCUAGCUCUUCUCUGCUUUCUCAUGCAGGCUGCCGCCUCCUCCACCUCUCUUCUUAGCCCUUGGCUUUUUCUGGCUCUGGACUUUUAUACACUUGGGUGCACCUUGCUCUCAUCUGGAGAGUUCAGGGACCUUACCCUUCUACAUGCAGCUCCCCAAAUGUCUACCUCCAUGCAGUUUAGCUCUCUCCCCUUCAGAGAUCCAUCUCUGAUAGGUAGCUCUUUCCUCAAUAAAAACAUUCCAUCCUGCAGGUAAGAGGGAGGCUCCUAGGACUCAGGAAGCAAAGGAAACUUACAAGGCUUAGAAGCUUAGGAAGUUAUAGGAUUCACAAGGCCUGGGGGUGGGCUGGGCUAUGGUUAUAUAGCAAAGAUGCUUGCUGGAAAGAGAAAAUUCUUGGGCAAGUGCUGUAUGGUAAUUUCCUCUAAAGGCAAGCAACCAGUCCAGGAGGUAUGUGAGGGGAGGCUCGUGAGAAUCAAGAUUCUCCCCUGCUUUAUAAAAUGAGUGCACAGCUGCUGAGGAGGAGAUACUGACCAAUAGGGCUGUCAGAGGAAAUUCUCAGACCUGUCAACCUGUCAGGUUGCCUGCAGAUUGUGCAGAGAGCUCUUGGGAUGCAGCUUUCAUGAGCUGUUAUCUGUGUUGGGGUAGGUUUUCAGUGACAAUAAUGCAUAUGAGCCCUCCUGGUGCCUGUAAGUAACCCCCUGCUGUACCACUGGUAGGAACCCCAACAAAUAUUGGUUCACUGGGUUGGAUUUCAUUACCUUGGUCUGUCCAGGGUUCCCUUUCAUGGUAAGUAGAUGAGUGUUGCAUUUCCUCAGGAAAAAGCUCUCAUACAACAGCAGGCUGAACUGCCUGCAGAUUGUACAGGGAGCCCCUGGGGUGCAGCUUUUCUGAGUUGUUCCUCCAACUGGGGUGAAUAUUUUGGUAAGCUCACCUUUGAGACAUCUGUGCCUCCAUAAUUAACCCUUCCCCAUGCUCCUAUAUGCAGUCUAAAUAAACUCACUGGAUCACUAGUUUA